UGUUCACUGCUUUGUUAAACACUGCGUGAGCCAAUAGUUUAGAAUAACAUAUUUGUGGAUCUAACCUCCUAUCCUACAUGUCUUUUAAAAGAUUUUUUAAAUCUCUUUGCGCAGGUGGUAAGACUAGAAUACUCAAGGCAGAACACUUUCCAAAUAUUUGUCCACACAGUGUAUGCUAUGUGGAUAUUACUGUCAAGAUGGACCUUGUUUGCUCAAGUCAUUUGAGAGAGUUGUCUGCAGCUGCUUGAAGGACUUAAAUGGAUGACAAUGAGAUUUAUGGAACAGUUCUUUAGCUGCGUAUCACCCUGCCCUCUGUUUUGCUUAUAGUCGACUUCAGCACCAAGGACAGCACAAACAGUGGCUCGAGUUUUUUUAGUAGCUGUUUUGUGAAGCCUGUAACCUACUUGUUGCAAUUUGUAGUCCUUAACCAGAGAGGAAAGUAAAAGUGGAGCACUGAAGCAAGGCCACCACUCACCCUUGAGUAUGACCUCUAUAUUUGCUAUGUAGUUGCUGCACAUUAAUCAGAUCCAGGGGCAGCUUCAAUUCAGAAGAGAUUUUUUUACAGUCUUAAUUUUGUGUGUGUGUGUGUCACUCAGCCUUUUAACCUCUUCUUUCCCCACAACUUUUCUUUUUUUACUGGGCAGAUUUUCCUCUCAAAAUAUCUCAAAUCCUGUGUAGACAUCAUGUGGCAGGUUGGUUUUCUGGAUUCUUUCAAGCUUAUGACUUACUGAGACAAGUGGCAUGACAUGUUUUGGAUGUCCUUUGGAUUCCGCAGAGUCCGUGUGUACCUCUCCCACUGCAGCUGAGUAUAUCAUGCACCCGUUUUACGCUUUCAUGUCAUACUGGUGACGACCCUCUGCCCCCCCCACUACCACCAUCACCACCCCUUCCAUCGUCCUGUAAAAUGAUAUCACACGGUACAGCUGACACCGUCUCACUCUUCCCACUGUUCUUUCUACCCCGCCCCACCGGGCACGGCGGUAGCAGGUGCCGAAACGCCCCCAGAGAACCUCGCUGAAAACGCUGCCAUGCCGAGCGGUGACACUCUGCAGCCGGACUACCGCCUGGUCUCAUCCGUCUUUAGCGCUUCAAAGAGGGGUCGGAUGCCAUGAGAUUUCCCACAGGCCCUCACUGGCUCCACGCUGUGAGUAAACCCGUGGUCAAGAGGGGAUAACCAACGGCGGAUAAUGACGUGAUGAUUCCGGUUGUAGAGCCAGCACAGGGGGGCUCCGGGCACCUUUAAUGACCGGUGCUGGAGAGGAAAUCAGUGGACUUUACUGUCUGUGGAGCCGCGUAACACCGGACCGACAGCGGUGCAAAUAAGAAGAAGGGAAGAAAAGAAAAGAAACGUCUCUCUAACAGGUUGCUGAGACAUUCAGUCCGAAAAGGGGGGAUUUGCAGCACAGCAGAGAAUGCUCUCCCCCAGAUGCUGACUUCUAAAGCCAUUAGAAACCUGUGCUGAACG